AUCCCUCUCGAAUUGAUCUUACUCAAGAGGUGAAUGAAGUUAAAAAGAAAGCAGAUCAAGCAAUUGAAGAUGCAAGAAAAGAAGCUGAAAAUGCUAUAACAGAAGCAGAAUAGGCUAAAUUAGAUGUUGAACAAGCCAAAAAAGAGGCGGAAGCUGUUAAGAAUGACGUGAACAGAAAAAUUGCUGAUAAUAAUGCAGUUUGGGAGAAGAAGUUUAGUCAACUUCUGGAUUUUCUUGGAGCAGGAAGUUCAUCAGAUUCUGAUGUUUCAGGAUGUCAAGGUUCAAAGGAAUGAAGUAACAAGGAGCGGAGCACAAACAUAUUGUCACAUGGUAUAUAUAGAGUAUAUAUUGUUCUUUAGCAACAUGAUUUGAGUGUUCUUUUUAUUUAUUUAUUUAUUUUUUUUUUUUUUGUAAGAGUGAGCUAGUGAUGAGACAAUGAGACAAUUGAUUUAUAGUAUGUUUGUAUGUAUGGAUAUCAAACUCAAGUAUGUUUGAAUGUACGGGAUUCCAAGACAUUAAUAUGGUUUUUUUUAAUGUUAUGUAUCUAUUUCAGCAAUGACAAAUAUGACAUAUUUGAGGAAAACUCCAUCUGUAAUAUUUAGUUAUGCUUAUAUCAUAGAUAAUGCUGCAACAAAUUAAAGCUUA